AGGGCAAAAGAGUUACACUCCAAACCCCAAUGUGAACGUUACCAAUCUGUUGCCUCGGCGGGAUUCUCUUGCCCCGGGCGCGUCGCAGCCCCGGAUCCCAUGGCGCCCGCCGGAGGACCAACUCCAAACUCUUUUUUUCUCUCCGUCGCGGCUCCCGUCGCGGCUCUGUUUUAUUUUUGCUCUGAGCCUUUCUCGGCGACCCUAGCGGGCGUCUCGAAAAUGAAUCAAAACUUUCAACAACGGAUCUCUUGGUUCUGGCAUCGAUGAAGAACGCAGCGAAAUGCGAUAAGUAAUGUGAAUUGCAGAAUUCAGUGAAUCAUCGAAUCUUUGAACGCACAUUGCGCCCGCCAGUAUUCUGGCGGGCAUGCCUGUCCGAGCGUCAUUUCAACCCUCGAACCCCUCCGGGGGGUCGGCGUUGGGGAUCGGCCCCUCACCGGGCCGCCCCCGAAAUACAGUGGCGGUCUCGCCGCAGCCUCUCCUGCGCAGUAGUUUGCACACUCGCACCGGGAGCGCGGCGCGGCCACAGCCGUAAAACACCCCAAACUUCUGAAAUGUUGACCUCGGAUCAGGUAGGAAUACCCGCUGAACUUAAGCAUAUCAAUAAGGGGGAAGAAA
rnacentral:rRNA from 1 species